UACGAAGGGGGCUAGCGUUGCUCGGAAUCACUGGGCGUAAAGCGCACGUAGGCGGACUCUUAAGUCAGGGGUGAAAUCCUGGAGCUCAACUCCAGAACUGCCUUUGAUACUGGGAGCCUUGAGUUCGAGAGAGGUGAGUGGAACUGCGAGUGUAGAGGUGAAAUUCGUAGAUAUUCGCAAGAACACCAGUGGCGAAGGCGGCCAACUGGUCCGGUACUGACGCUGAGGUGCGAAAGCGUGGGGAGCAAACAGG
rnacentral:rRNA from 1 species